rnacentral:lncRNA from 1 species
AUGCCCCACCUGACCACGCUCACAUCGUCCCCACCCCUCACCCCACACACAGGGACAUCACCCCCAGGGAAAGUGGCAGCUCUGCCUUCUGCAGGUGCCUCAUCCCUGCCCGGAGCCUCGCUCUCCGAGGGGCACAGGGAGAUGGUGGCCGGGCUGUGGCUGGCACCAUGUGGCACCUGGCCAGUGCUGAGCAGCAGAAGGCAGGGCUCCUCCAGGGCUCUCCAGGGAAGCAACAGGGAGCCUUGGUCCUGUGUGAGUGGCCACAGGGCUGGCUGUCCCUCGGGGUGCUCAGGGUGCCUGGGUGAAGGUCCUGAGCACCGUGGCUGGGUGCUGGGUGCUGCAGCCCAGCUUGUGCAGAGUAGGACAAGGCUGGAGGGCUGUGGGAAGGCACGGCAAGGUUUGGAACGAGGGGUUUUUGGGGAUCUUGCAGGAUUUGGGACGUUCCUGUCCUGCUCCUGGCUGCUGUGGGGCAAAAAGGUGAUCUCUUGGAGCCCAAGGACAGGAGGGCUCUGCUUCCAGAGGGAGCCUGAAUGUGCUUCCAGAGGGAAUCCAGCUCUGCUGUCAGAGCAGGGAUCAACAAGCAGGAUGUCCUGGCUGGGGGAUGGAGCCUGUCCCAGCUGGGAGAGCCCUGUCCUGGGUGCAGGUGUGUGUGAGUGCUUGCAUGGAGCACCGUGUGUGUGUGCAGGAGUGUGGGCACACGUCUGUGGGUGUCAGCAAGCCUCUGUGUGUGUGUGUGUGUGUGUGUUACACUUGUGUCUGUGCCCGUGCUCCUGUGUCCUGCUCUCCUCCCCUCUGGGCAGGGAGGGUGAGAUUAACCUCCAGAUCCUUCCUACCAGCAUGUGCUCCCGCUCUCUCCCUUGGAAAUGCCGUUUUUUAGAUGAGAAAAUAUGGAAGCGCCUUCAGUCCCUGCUCAGUGACCUUCAAAACCAUCCAGCAAAUUGGGCUUGGACGGCGAGCCCGGCCAGAUGGCCCUUCUCAAACACGCUGGCCGUGCAAACGGGGUUUUACUCCUGGAUCCUGCUCCAAGGCAGCCUCGUGAAACGGCGCGUUCAGUCUGUGCUCUGGGAAGGCAGCCACACCGCCCCGUGCCGAAGAGGAGGCGCUGGGGCCGUGCCAGGCCGGGCUGGGCAGGGACAGCGCUGGCAGCCCGGAGCCUUCGGGUGUUUUCAGUUCACUCAGGCAGAUGAGCCUAACUAG